rnacentral:rRNA from 1 species
UACGGAGGAGGCAAGCGUUAUCCGGAAUUAUUGGGCGUAAAGCGUCCGCAGGUGGCAAUGUAAGUCUGCUGUUAAAGAGUCUAGCUCAACUAGAUACAAGCAGUGGAAACUACAUAGCUAGAGUACGUUCGGGGCAGAGGGAAUUCCUGGUGUAGCGGUGAAAUGCGUAGAGAUCAGGAAGAACACCGGUGGCGAAGGCGCUCUGCUAGGCCGUAACUGACACUGAGGGACGAAAGCGUGGGGAGCAAACAGG